AACAUGGCUGUUUAUUUCAACUGGGUGCAGGCGGGCUGAGUCUGAAAAGAGAGUCAGCAAAGGGAGAUGGAUUACUAUUAGUUCUUAUAGGUUUUGGGAUAGGUGGUGAAGUUGAUAGCAAUGUUUUGCGGACAGGAGUCGAUCUCACAAAGUACAUUCUCAAGGGUGGGGAGAAUUACAAAGAAACAUCUUAAGGGUGGGGGAGAUUACAAAGUACAUUGAUCAGAUAGGGUGGGUAAGGAACAAAUCACAAUGGUAGAAUGUCAUCAGUCAAGGCUAUUUUGACCUCUUUUGUGGAUCUUCAGUUACUUCAGACCAUCUGGUGUAUAUGUUCAAGUCACAGGGGAUGUGAUGGAUUGGCUUGGGCUCAGAGGCUUGACACUGGCCUUCCAGGCAAAGUCACCCGUUUGGCACUCCUCCCUGGACGGCCCUGGUUGUGGGAUUGCCGCCAAUCCUGCCUGGGCUCUGGCCUCUGCUCUGUCCUCCCUCUUGCUCUGCCUGCCCUGUUUCUGAGAAGCCUAGGGGCUUCUUGGUCUGCCUCAAUGUCUUCAACCCAAAAGACUUCCCAGUCCAUCCGGGAGAAAGUUCCUGGGGGUCGGUGUCAUGAUUGUUUCCCUCUCCAAACCUCUUUAAGCAUGAUUGGGCAGGUGUGGUGAUCCUGGAGCUCUGGGCUUCUAUAGCUGUCUGGGACAGGGAAGCUUUCUGGGUCUCUGUGGCCCAAGUGAUGGCUGCGUGGUCGGUCCAGGAAGAGCGGGAGGCAACCCGACCAUUCCUGACAUUUGCCUUCUAGGAAAGGCAGUGUGGCAUGCCACCUGCACUUCCUCUCUGAUUCCUGAGGGCCAUCGGGUUCCUCUGCUCCUGGGGAAAGAGGCUUCUAGCGCUGAAUCUUCUGGCUGCCACGGAUGUCAGGGAGCCAAAGGGACUGGGUUUUGCUGGGUGCAGGGGAGGUGGCGUCACGGGUACGUACCCGGUGGCAGGGUGGGGGUGGGAGUGGGGUGAAAUUUCUGGAAACCUCUCGGCCCCUCUGGCAGGCAUCCCUGAAUGUGGCUUGGAUUCGGGCGCAGGCCCUGUCUCGCAAGUUUUCAGCUGCGCUUGGCUUUUCUUCAGCUUUGUGGCCGAGGUCUCCCGUGGCCCACGGGCGCACGUCUGGACAUCAUUGUCCGUCUCGCCACGCCCCCUAUGGCCUCAAAGACACGCGCUCACUCCAUCCGCUCUUGGGCGACGUCAGUGCCACGGGUGGUCACACUGGCUCCAUCUCGGACUCGCCUCUGUCUGUCUUUGCACGUGUCGCGGAAAGCAGUGUCGGGAUGCCGGAGCCCCUGGGCCUUGGAGAUGAAGGCAGGCCACUGCUCCACCCAGGAAGGAGGGAGGCAGUGGGCUUGUGUGUCCGUUUAUUUUCCGCCGACAGCACGCCUUGCGGCCCUGGGGAUCUUUCUGUGCCCCAGCGAGACCCUUCCCGCCUCACUGCAUUGCAACCCCAUUCCCGAUCACCCGGUGGGAUCCAUCGUCGGAUCCGAAGAGGAGUCCGCACAGCCCAGCCGGCACCCUGAAGCUCCUCCUCCACCGGGAACCGAAGCAAGAAGACCGAUCGAGGAGGUCCUGAGGACAGGACUCCUACUGGUCCGACCCUGGGUCUCCCGCAGGCCCCUCUGGCAGUCCUCUUCCCACCCGCCGCCGCAAGCGCGCCACCGCCGCCACCGCCGCCCCGGUCCCCGCAACCUGCCGUGUCGCCGCCAUUUUUUAAAGGGUCCGCAGCCUGCCUCUCCCGAGCGAGGGGCGAGUCGGCCUCUCCAGUGCGCAUGCGCGAGGCCGGAGGCGCCGCUUGCGUCACAGUGACCGCCACCGUUGCCCCGGGGUGGAUUCCUGAGACUGGGCCAAGUAGGGGCCCUGUGUGACCGUGCGUCAGAGUCGGGGCUGAGACCAGUCCUGGCCAGGGCGUUAACAGGAUGGUCUCGGAGGCCGGGAUUCGCGGAGGGUCGACCAGCAGGGAGAAGCCUCAGGAGGAAGAAACCUCAGACGGAUCGCCGGGGAGGCAGCGCGGGAUCCCAGCCUCAGGUGUGCGCGGACGGUGUGCCCGUGAGUCUCCCCAAAAGUGGUGCCCUUGUGAUGUCGAGGACAGGUCUGCCCGUGUGCCCGUGGGCUGCUCUCUCACCGCUGGGUUGUAGUCCCGGAGAGCAGAACCCGGCAGCUUCAGGGGCUGCCUGGGGCUGGGUGUUACCUGCUGUAUGUGUUUGUGCUUAGGGGUGUGUGUGUGUGUGUGUGUGUGUGUGUGUCUGUGUGUCUGUGUGUCUGUGUGUCUGUGUCUCUGUGUCUCUGUGCCCACUUAUGUCUCUCUCAGAUAUCUCUCUCUUCUCACUCUUUCCAUCGCUCUCUGUUACUCUAUCUCUGUCCGUCUGUGCGUGCGUGUUUGCUGGGACACAGGUGCCCUUUGCGCCGGAGGUUGGUUUCUCGCACAUCAGCCUAUCUUGUGGUCAGCCUCUCCCCGGGUCUCUGCCUGCGUCGUGUGGCCCGUUGGCAGUCGUUUUCCCGGCGGUUCCAGUUUGGGUUUGUGAAGGCCUGGGCAACGUGGGCACCUGCGUCGGACCCGCAGGGGUUUUCAUCCCCUCCCCUUCCUGAGCAGCCUCUUUGCUGGGAUCAAGACGACCACACCCUAGCCAAGGACGAAGGCCUCAGAGGGGCUCAUUGUCCACCCGCAGGAGGGUGCCCACAGAUCUUGAGGAAGACGCUUCUCACUCCUCUUGCCCUUUGCCGUCAUUGAGAAAUCUAGCCACGGCUCGAAACAGAGACGGAGGAGGAAGCUGGCAACGGGAUGGGGCAAACAUCUCUGUGGCUCAGACGCUGGCCUUUGUGGCCAAGUCACCCGUUUGGCACUCCUCCCCGGAUGGCCGUGGUGGUGGCAUGGCCCCCCCGUAUCCUGCCUGGGCUCUGGCCUCUGCUCUGACCUCCCUCUUGCUGUGUCUGCCCCGUCUCUGAGAAGCCUGGCGGCUUCUUAGUGUGGUUCAGUGUCUUCCACAAAGAAGACUUCCCCGUCCAUGAGGGAGAAACCUCGUGGGGGUCCGCGUCAUGAUUGUUUCCCUCUCCACACCUCUUUCUGGAUGAUUGGGCAGCUGUGGUGAUCCUGGAGCUCUGGGCUUCCAUACCUGUGUGGGACAGGGAAGUUCUCUUGGUCUCCAUGGCCCAAGUGAUGGCUGCACGCUCGGUCCAGGAAGAGGGGGAGGCAAGCCCACCGCUCCUGACAUUGGCCUUCUAGGAAAGGCGGUGUGGCAUCCCACCUGCACUUCCUCUCUGAUUCUUGAGGGCCAACCGGUUCCUCCGCUCCUGGGGAAAGUGCCUUCUGGCACUGAAUCUUUUGGCUGCCACGGAUGUCAGGGAGCUAACGGGACUGGGUUUGGGCUGGGUGCAGGGGAGGUUGCGUCAGGGGUACCUAGCCGGCGGCGGGCUGGGGGUGGGGUGUACUUUGUCCAAACCUCUCGGCUCCUCUGGCGGGCCUCCCUGAACGUGGCCUGGACUCGCGCACAGGCCCUGUGUCGCAGGUUUUCAGGUGCGCUUGGCUUUUCCUCCGCUUUGUGGGGCAGGUCUCCAGUGACCCCCGGGGCGCACGCCUGGACAUCACUGUCCGUCUCGUCGUCGCCCCCUGCGGCCUCAAAGACACACGCUGACUGCAUGUGCUCUUGGGGGACGACAGUGCCACGUGUGGUCACACUGGCUCCAGCUCCGACUCGCCUCUGUCUCUCUUUGCCCGUGUCGCCGGAAGCCGCGUCGGGAUGCCGGAGCCCCCGGGCCUUGGAGAUGAAGGCAGGCCCCUACUCCUGCCAGGAAGGAGGGAGGCAGUGGGCUCAUGGGUCGGUGCCUUUGCAGCCGACAGCACGCCUUGCGGCCCUGGGGAUCUUUCUGUGCCCCGGCGAGACCCUUUCCGCCUCACUGCAUUGGAACCCCAUUCCCGAUCACCCGGUGGGAUCCAUCAUCGGACCCCAAGAGGAGUCCGCGCAGCCCAGCCGGCACCCCGAAGCUCCUCCUUCAGCGGGAACCGAAGCAGAAGAGCGAUCAAGGAGGUCCUGACGACAGGACUCCUAUGGGUCCGACCCUGGGUCUCCCGCAGGCCCCUCUGGCAGUCGUCUUCCCACCCGCCGCCUCGGGCUGCGCCGCAGCCGCCGCCGCCGCCGCAACCUCCAGCACCGCCGCCCCAGGCUCCGCAGCCGCCGCGCCGCCGCCAUUUUUUAAAGGGUCCGCAGCCUGACUCUGCGGAGUAAGGGGGGGUGGGGCGGGGGAGUCGGCCUCGCCAGUGCGCAUGCGCGAGGCCCGAGCCGCCGCUUGGGUCACAGUGAAAGGCAGCGUUGCCCGGGGAUGGGUCCCUGACACUUGGCGAAGGAGGUGCCCUGUGUGGUCGUGCGUCUGAGUCUGGGCUGAGACCAGUCCUGGCCAGGGCAGGUACCAGGACGGUCUCCGGAGGACGGGAUUCGCGGAGGGUCCACCAGCAGGAAGAAACCCCAGGAGGAAGAAACCUCAGAAAGAUCGCCGGCGAGGGAGCGCGGGAUCCCAGCCUCAGGCGUGCGCGGACGGUGUGCGGGUGGAAACCCCCUUCCCAUGGGGUGAAGCGCAGUCUGCUCCAGAGCCCCACUGUUGGGGUCGGGGAUGUCACAGAAAUUAACAGGGCAGCCAAUUCCCAUCCAGAGGGGGCCCAGGAUGACCCCGAACCCUCUAGCUCAGCCCCAAGCUCGGACCAGGGAGUGAAGCCCUUGUCCCCAAGCAACAGAGUGAGGGUCUGUCUCUAACCCGGUGGGCUCCAGUGAAAGGAAAAUGGCCUGGAGGUGCCCACAGGAGGGCGCCCUAGUUCUGAGACAGGUCUACGGCUCCCAGACUGCGUCCCCAUGAGUAACACAGGGACACGCAGAGGGGCAUACUGAGUGCCUAUAGGGGACUCACGGACUGCAGAUGCACGCUGCGGAUCCAGAAGCCGGUCAGGUAAUGAGGUGCAGAGGUGUGGGGAAGACCUGGGUGCCAACCAGCGUAACCAGCCAGGGCCACCAAACAGAAGUGCUUCUGACAUUAAUGCGACACACAGAAGGUGUGUAGGGUGGGUAGUGGAAGUGACCGCAGAGGCCUCUGGGGAUUGUAGUUUUGGAGCUAGAGAGGCGGGCAAGCAGUUGGCUUCGCCCACACGGUGUGCCUCUCACAUCUGCACAGCGCACACAACCAAGCUUAGGAGCCGACUGUUAAGAUGCCCAAGUGACACGGACAAGUUUCUCCUCUGCAACCCAAUGAGAUCUGCUGACCACGAGAGCAUCGCGGGGCCGCCAAAGGAUUCUGGAAAAUGUGGUCCCGGGUGGCCAGUGUGCGCUGACCUUCACCUGAAGGUACGGCUUGAAGGAAACUUCUGGAGGGUGGGGUGGUGUUGAAGAGAAGGCACAGUUGUAACCAUUUUGUUCAACAUGGGCGUUUUCUUUGUGCAUUGAUUUGCAUUUUUAAAGGUAUUCCAUUAAAAAUAUGUUUAUCUAUUUUAA